rnacentral:rRNA from 1 species
CAUACUGCCGUGAAUACGUUCCCGGGCCUUGUACACACCGCCCGUCACACCAUGAGAGUUGGGAAUACCCGAAGCCUGUGAGCUAACUUUAGGGAGGCAGCAGUCGAAGGUAGAAUCAAUGAUUGGGGUGAAGUCGUAACAAGGUAUC